GAUGAACGCUAGCUACAGGCUUAACACAUGCAAGUCGAGGGGAAACGAUAGAGAAAGCUUGCUUUUUCUAGGCGUCGACCGGCGCGCGGGUGAGUAACGCGUAUCCAACCUGCCCAUCACUUGGGGAUAACCUUGCGAAAGUAAGACUAAUACCCAAUGACGUCUCUAGAAGACAUCUGAAGGAGAUUAAAGAUUUAUCGGUGAUGGAUGGGGAUGCGUCUGAUUAGCUUGUUGGCGGGGUAACGGCCCACCAAGGCGACGAUCAGUAGGGGUUCUGAGAGGAAGGCCCCCCCANAUUGGAACUGAGACACGGUCCAAAACUCCUACGGGAGCAGCAGUGAGGAAUAUUGGUCAAAUGGACGAGAGUCUGAACCAGCCAAGUAGCGUGCAGGAUGACGGCCCUAUGGGUUGUAAAACUGCUUUUUAUAAGGGAAUAAAAGUGAGUCUCGUGAGACUUUUUGCAUGUACCUUAUGAAUAAGGACCGGCUAAUUCCGUGCCAGCAGCCGACGG
rnacentral:rRNA from 1 species